ensembl:lncRNA
AGUUUUGAACCCAGGAGUGGAAGGCAAUUGUGCUGUUCUGUGACUUCCUAAUUCUUGAGAGCUAAAAUUCAUUCAAGGCAUGAACAUGUUUAACUUCAAAGCAAUUUAGCACUUGAUAAAAGGCUUCACCUGGAAUUUCACCUGGGUAAAGCUGGCAGGAUCAGAUGAACAUUUCAAACACAGAAAUAGCUCAUAUCUAGACGGGUGAGUAAAGGCUAUGAGAUCGGUUCUUAACCGUGA